UUCCAUCCAGUGAUAACGUAGAUAUUAAACUAUUAAACCAGACAGACAUAACGUUAUAAACGACAAGUUAAGCUAACAUUAUUAGCUAGCUAGGUACCGUUAGCUAGCUCUGUAUGCUAUGCUAACUUAGCCUGCUAUCUAUUUUUGCGAAAUAGCUGUGAUUUCUCUUAGCAAUGCAUAAUUUGAACUGAAUGCUUGCUACAGCCAGAGAACAACAUUUUCUCGGCAGUUUAUUUUGUUGUUGCGUCGGCAAUGUAUGAGGAUUUUGAUGAACCCCAGCCAAACCAGUCAAAUCCACUGGUUCCUGACUGUAUCCAUGGUAACCAGAGCACAAGCGUUCCAGAGAUGGUUCCUAGGAGCCUUGACUACUUCAGUGACUUUCUAAGAUUGAGAGGAGAGAGUUCCAGCCAUCAUUCUGAAAGUGAGGGGG